rnacentral:sRNA from 1 species
GGAAACGCCGAGGAACCCGGCUGAGGCGGCAGCUUCGUAGGUGACAGACAGGUACACUGUAUGCUAGCCCUGUAUCUGUCUGAGCAGUGGAAUGUGCCGGGAAAGAAGGAGCAACCACUGACUGAUGAACCUUUCCCAGUCUCCCUUCCAAGAGGGAUACCAGAGCCUUCUGUAAGCUCCUGAGAUGUCACUGGUAUCUAGGCAACAGGGAUGAGCCUGAACCUCCCUGAGGCCAGCUUGCUGAGCAGAGCGUCCUGGCCAGAACAAGCCAAGGAGCCAAGACGAGAGGGACACACAGACAAACAACAGACGGAAGACGUACUGGCCGCUGGACUCCGCUGCCUCCCCCAUCUCCCCGCCAUCUGCGCCCGGAGGAUGAGCCCAGCCUUCAGGGCGAUGGAUGUGGAGCCCCGCGCCAAAGGCGUCCUUCUGGAGCCCUUUGUCCACCAGGUCGGGGGGCACUCAUGCGUGCUCCGCUUCAAUGAGACAACCCUGUGCAAGCCCCUGGUCCCAAGGGAACAUCAGUUCUACGAGACCCUCCCUGCUGAGAUGCGCAAAUUCACUCCCCAGUACAAAGGUGUCUCUUGAUCACAGUAACCCAUAGUCCCCCAUUGUGGGGACAGUGGGGGAA